AAGCAAAGUCGCAGAAGUGCAGAUAAACAACCAAAUGAAGCAAUUGCAUGCAACUGUUUUGUUCUACGGCUAAUCACAUAAGCAACCAACAGAUGUGAUAGCCGGCGCAACAGUUGGUUAUUUCAUCAGAGUCUGGAACGUUCUGCAGGGGAUUUGAUAAUAAGAUCCAGAUUUUAUUAAAAACCAAGUAUCAUCAUGGAAGCCUCCAUUUGAAUGCCGCUCUUAAGUCAAAUACGUACAUGAUUGAAAUAUAAAAUUCUGUUAGAAAAAGCUAUUUUUCAUAAAAAUGUUUGGAAAUUGUUAAUGUUAAUGUAUACUAAAAGAAAGAUAGUUUAAUUAUCUUUUAAUCCAUAAUGAAUUAAAAAAAAUUCAUUUAUUUUGUAAAUGCUUCAAGGCUAUAUUUAUUGGUUUAUGCAAGUCAAAAGUACAUGUCGAAAUACAAAAUGUUGUUAGCAUGGGCUUUGUUUUAUAAGCAUGUUUAAAAAUAUACAAUGUUAACGCAUAUGAAAAUGGAGAUAGUUCAA